rnacentral:rRNA from 1 species
CUGCAUAUCAAUAAGCGGAGGAAAAGAAACUAACAAGGAUUCCCUUAGUAACGGCGAGUGAAGCGGGAAGAGCUCAAAUUUGAAAGCUGUUGCCUUUGGUAACCGCAUUGUAAUCUCGAGAUCUGUUUUCCGCGCUGGACCAUGUACAAGUCCCUUGGAAUAGGGCGUCAUAGAGGGUGAGAAUCCCGUACUUGACAUGGCCUCCCAGUGCUUUGUGAUACAGGCUCAACGAGUCGAGUUGUUUGGGAAUGCAGCUCAAAAUGGGUGGUAAAUUCCAUCUAAAGCUAAAUAUUGGGGAGAGACCGAUAGCGAACAAGUACCGUGAGGGAAAGAUGAAAAGCACUUUGGAAAGAGAGUUAAACAGUACGUGAAAUUGUCAAAAGGGAACCGUUUAAAGUUAGUCAUGCUUGCCUGGACUCAGCCUUGCUUUUGCUUGGUGCAUUUCCAGGUUAGCAGGUCAGCAUCGGUUUUGACUGCUGGAUAAGGGUGAGAGGAAUGUGGCACCUUCGGGUGUGUUAUAGCCUUUCACUGGAUGCAGCAGUUGGGACCGAGGAACGCAGCGCGCCUUUAUGGCGGACCUUCGGGUACCUUCGCGCUUAGGAUGCUGGCAUAAUAGCUUUAAGCGACCCGUCUUGAAACACGGACCAAGGAGUCUAACAUGUCUGCGAGUCUUUGGGUGGCAAACCCAUAGGCGCAAUGAAAGUGAAUGCAGUGGGAUCCUCAC